rnacentral:rRNA from 1 species
CAGACGAGGAGCUUGCUCCUCUGACGUUAGCGGCGGACGGGUGAGUAACACGUGGGUAACCUACCUAUAAGACUGGGAUAACUCCGGGAAACCGGGGCUAAUACCGGAUAACACAUGAAACCGCAUGGUUUCAUGAUGAAAGACGGUUUUGCUGUCACUUAUAGAUGGACCCGCGGCGUAUUAGCUAGUUGGUAAGGUAACGGCUUACCAAGGCAACGAUACG